rnacentral:rRNA from 1 species
UGGCGGCACUAGCGCGGUGGUCCCACCUGACCCCAUGCCGAACUCAGAAGUGAAACGCCGUAGCGCCGAUGGUAGUGUGGGGUC